rnacentral:rRNA from 1 species
UUGAUGGAUAGUAUGAAUGGUAUAACGAGUAUAACACUGUCUCAAAUAAAAAUCUUAUAAAAUUAGAAUAAUAGUGAAGAUGCUAUUUUAAACUGUAAGACGAGAAGACCCUAUAGAGCUUAACUAUAACUCUUUAACAAUUAAUAAACUAGUUUGUUAAUAAAAAGAGAUAGGUAGUUUAGUUGGGGCGACUACUUUCUAAAAUCAACGAAAGUAAACAAAAUUAAUUAAAAGGUUUACUGUUUAACUUAUGAAUUUAACAGUUAUUAUAAUAGGUAAUAAUGACCCGUUAACAAUUAAUAAUAGUACUAACGAUCAAUAAAUAAAAGCUACCUUAGGGAUAACAGGAUAAUUUUGUU